GGAGCGGGUCCGGCUGGCGCGAGGACACCGAUUCGAAAUCGGCUGGGGCUGAAAGGCCUUCGAGGGUUCGAGUCCCUCCCGCUCCGCCA
rnacentral:tRNA from 1 species